rnacentral:rRNA from 1 species
CGAACGGGUGAGUAAUGCGUGACCAACCUGCCCCAUGCUCCAGAAUAGCUCUUGGAAACGGGUGGUAAUGCUGGAUGCUCCAACUUGACGCAUGUCUUGUUGGGAAAGUGUUUAGUGGCAUGGGAUGGGGUCGCGUCCUAUCAGCUUGUAGGCGGGGGUAAUGGCCCACCUAGGCUUCGACGGGUAGCCGGCCUGAGAGGGCGGACGGCCACAUUGGGACUGAGAUACGGCCCAGACUCCUACGGGAGGCAGCAGGU